rnacentral:rRNA from 1 species
UGGGGAAUAUUGCACAAUGGGCGCAAGCCUGAUGCAGCCGUGCCGCGUGUGCGAAGAAGGCCUUCGGGUUGUAAAGCACUUUCAGCGAGGAGGAAGGUGGUGGACUUAAUACGUUCAUCAAUUGACGUUACUCGCAGAAGAAGCACCGGCUAACUCCGUGCCAGCAGCCGCGGUAAUACGGAGGGUGCAAGCGUUAAUCGGAAUUACUGGGCGUAAAGCGCACGCAGGCGGUUUGUUAAGUCAGAUGUGAAAUCCCCGGGCUCAACCUGGGAACUGCAUUUGAAACUGGCAAGCUAGAGUCUCGUAGAGGGGGGUAGAAAUUCCAGGUGUAGCGGUGAAAUGCGUAGAGAUCUGGAGGAAUACCGGUGGCGAAGGCGGCCCCCUGGACGAAGACUGACGCUCAGGUGCGAAAAGCGUGGGGAGCAAAACAGGAUUAGAUACCCUGGUAGUCCACGCUGUAAAACGAUGUCGAUUUUGGAGGUUGUGCCCUUGAGGCGU